CUUGGGCCGCGAAGGAGAAGGUGGUGGUGCGACUUGGUUGGUGUAGAAGCCAAUGGUCGCAUGUUUUCUUUGCAGGUUUGGAUCGAAGAGGUUGAAGAUGGUUAGCUUGUGACUCCUGUGAAAGUGGUUUUGGUUCCUUAUAAGUGGUCCAUGGCGCGAUUAAAGAAAAGGAGAUUUGUGAUUUUGAUCUUGUGGUUUCUAGGAUUUCCUGUCGGUUGAAUCAUUUUGGCUUAUGGAGGCACAAAGGUGGUGCAAUUUGGCCUUCAUGGUGAAGCUGGUGGUGUUGCCAUAUAUUCUAGUCGCGAUUCUAUUUUCUGGUCUUUUAGGAUGUUUCGCGAUGAACUUUCGGUUGAGUUUUUGUGGUGGUGGAGGCUAUGCGAGGUGGUGCGUCAAUGGGGGCUAUCUUGCGGUGGAGAUUGGCGUUGCAGUAUGAGGGUUUCCCGAUUAAGCUUUUGUUGGUUGCGGUGGAGAAUGGAGGAGUCGUGGUGGUGAUAUGGAGGUUUCGCGGUGGCUAGUGUCGUAGUGGCAGGUUGGUCUGGUGGCGGCGUAAGGAAAAAGAUGGUGCCUAAGAGAAUUAAGGUUUUUCAAGUUGAAGAUAAUGGCAUGGUGGGGUUGAUCAUGUGGUACGUUUUGGUUCAUUCACUGAUUAGUACAAGGAUCAAUGUCA
rnacentral:sRNA from 1 species